rnacentral:rRNA from 1 species
CCUACGGGUGGCAGCAGUAGGGAAUGUUGCGCAAUGGGCGAAAGCCUGACGCAGCAACGCCGCGUGAUAGAGACGCCCUUCGGGGGGUAAAGAUCUGUCAGUGGGGACGAAACGUGACGGUACCCACAGAGGAAGCACCGGCUAACGCCGUGCCAGCAGCCGCGGUAAUACGGGGGGUGCAAGCGUUGUCCGGAAUCAUUGGGCGGAAAGAGUUCGUAGGCGGCACGUAAAGUCUGGUGUUAAAGGCAGAGGCUCAACUUCUGUACGGCACGGGAUACUUGCGAGCUAGAAUGCGGUAGAGUUAACGGGACUUCCUGUUGUAGCGGUGCACUUCUUAGAUUUCAGGAG